UUUGUUUGUCCUUGUAUUGUAUUGACACGACUAGACUCUUACAAAAACAUGGAUGUGUCAAAUUAGUGUCAACGCAACGCCGUUAGAUCUUGUUUAUAAAAGUUGUUAGAUUGUCUCUGUCGUCAAAAAAAUCUUCUAAGUGUUUUUCUGAUUUUCACAGCUAAUACUUCGUUGGCGGAGUAACUUCUUUCGGAUGAGGUUUCUUAGCAUUUUUCUGGGUGGAGCAAUGGCCGGAAAACAGGUAAGCAAAUCAAGGGCAUGUUAAUAACCAUUCAUACUACGGUAUUGUUUGAUCAUCUUGUAUGUAUUUUUUUCUUCUUAGACCAUAUCAAAACCUGUUACGCAUCCCUCUGAGCUUCCUAAGUUGAACUAUAAUGAAUCUAGCACUGGACAAGCCUAUGAGCUUCCUAUGUUACUAGUCUUUUAUUUCUUCCUCAGUCCUCAAGCAAUUUUCAAAGAUCUUUUCCGUGGCGGAAACAAUAUUUUGGUUAGAGGUGUUAUACUUAAAAGCUGUUUCAUUUGAUGGCAUGACAUGUUGAUUGAAAUUAAUGAGUGGCACCAAUCAAGAAGUUAUGAGUAGACAGGUAUAUCUCCUUCUGUUUCAUGUGUAACUAUGACGAAUUUCAUCAGGCCAAGAUCGCCUAGAGCAGAAUUUGUGUAAAACUGGAAGCAAUUGUAAAUUUUGUAUUACUCUUACUUCAUCCAUCCAGGAAAAUGCUACGAAACUGGAAGCAAUUAUAAAUCUUAUUAGAAUAUUACUGUGUUUCUUGUAA